rnacentral:rRNA from 1 species
AGGCAGAGCAAAACCCUAAAAAGUACGUCUCAGUUCGGAUUGCAGGCUGCAACUCGCCUGCAUGAAGUCGGAAUUGCUAGUAAUCGCAGAUCAGCAUGCUGCGGUGAAUACGUUCCCGGGCCUUGUACACACCGCCCGUCACACCAUGGGAGUCGGUAACACCCGAAGUCGGUAGUCCUAACCGAAAGGAGGACGCCGCCGAAGGUGGGAUUGAUGACUGGGGUGAAGUCGUAACAAGGUAUC